AUUGAACGCUGGCGGCAGGCCUAACACAUGCAAGUCGAGCGGAUGAAGGGAGCUUGCUCCUGGAUUCAGCGGCGGACGGGUGAGUAAUGCCUAGGAAUCUGCCUGGUAGAGGGGGAUAACGUCCGGAAACGGGCGCUAAUACCGCAUACGUCCUGAGGGAGAAAGUGGGGGAUCUUCGGACCUCACGCUAUCAGAUGAGCCUAGGUCGGAUUAGCUAGUUGGUGGGGUAAAGGCCUACCAAGGCGACGAUCCGUAACUGGUCUGAGAGGAUGAUCAGUCACACUGGAACUGAGACACGGUCCAGACUCCUACGGGAGGCAGCAGUGGGGAAUAUUGGACAAUGGGCGAAAGCCUGAUCCGCCCAUGCCCCGUGUGUGAAGAAGGUCUUCGGAUUGUAAAGCACUUUAAGUUGGGAGGAAGGGCAGUAAGUUAAUACCUUGCUGUUUUGACGUUACCAACAGAAUAAGCACCGGCUAACUUCGUG
rnacentral:rRNA from 1 species